GAAGCGCUACGAAGAACAAGAAGUUCUGAAGUUUAAGGAUUAAUUUCUACCAGGUGAUGUCGAAGCGGAAUUCAUAAAUAAGUUUAAGAAUCUGAAACAAGGUUUUUCCAAAAUUUCUAUGAGAAAGUACAUGAAGGAGUUUAACCUAUUGUCUCUACGAUGUAGAGUGAAGGAGGAAGACAAAAGGCAAUAUUCGAGCUGAAUGAAUUGCAUUUGUCUUUUCUGGACAGCAUAGAAGGAGCAUACCGUAUUGCUUUGAGG
rnacentral:lncRNA from 1 species